GUUUAACCCUGAUGGGAGCGGCAUCCUUUUCAGGUUGUAAAACAAUCUGAAAAGAUAUAGCGGACAGCAGGAACAUGG
rnacentral:sRNA from 1 species